AGAGUUUGAUCAUGGCUCAGGACGAACGCUGGCGGCGUGCUUAACACAUGCAAGUCGAACGAUGAAGCCCAGCUUGCUGGGUGGAUUAGUGGCGAACGGGUGAGUAACACGUGAGUAACCUGCCCUUGACUUCGGGAUAACUCCGGGAAACCGGGGCUAAUACCGGAUAUGAGCUACCUUCGCAUGGGGGUGGUUGGAAAGUUUUUCGGUCAGGGAUGGGCUCGCGGCCUAUCAGCUUGUUGGUGGGGUGAUGGCCUACCAAGGCGACGACGGGUAGCCGGCCUGAGAGGGCGACCGGCCACACUGGGACUGAGACACGGCCCAGACUCCUACGGGAGGCAGCAGUGGGGAAUAUUGCACAAUGGGCGCAAGCCUGAUGCAGCGACGCCGCGUGAGGGAUGAAGGCCUUCGGGUUGUAAACCUCUUUCAGCAGGGAAGAAGCGCAAGUGACGG
rnacentral:rRNA from 1 species